CGGCGUGUAGUUCAGCUUGAUAGAACGCUUGUUUUGGGUACAAGAGGUCGCAGGUUUGAAUCCUGCCACGCCGACCA
rnacentral:tRNA from 1 species